rnacentral:tRNA from 1 species
GCCCCCAUCGUCUAGUGGUCAGGACGCAGCCCUUUCAAGGCUGAAACACGGGUUCGAGUCCCGUUGGGGGCA